AAUUAUUUUAAGAUAAAUGACAAAUUAAAGUAGAUCCAAAGAUCCAAUUGGUAACCCAAAUCGAUGGCCUUAAUAUAACUUUAUAGACUAUAUAGUAACCGGAUGAAAGCUAGGGAUUUCUGUUUUACGGCUCAAAGAAUGAGGCUGUGAGAGGAAGAAGGGUUUCCAAGGGCGGUUGCCGCCUCUCGACGCCGAUGAUUUCCAUUGUCAUUCUUUAAAGCUCCAACAACCCUCUGGUACAGCUUUUGCUGAUAUAUAUAUAUAUAGAUAUAGAGAAAUUAAAUAUCCUCCUAUCUUUUCUUCAUAUUAUACUCCUUCCGUCCAAAAUUAUUGUCCACAAAUAUGAGGCUAUGAUGAUUAAACGUGAUCUGAUUCAAAAUCGGGACAUGAUUUGAGAUUAUCCGCAGCUUGGCAGGGCAUAUAAUCGGAGGACGGCGAUUGUGAGAAUGCAACCUCUGUAUUUGCAGCCAUGGCGGUUUAAUCUUCUUGUUCCGAAGGGUUGAGCGCGGUGCAGUUCGGUGCGGUUAUUAGCCAAAACCUCACCACUAACCGCAAAUGCGGUUAAUCCAUUUUCAAAACCGUAUAGUGCGGUUAUUUUUGCGGUGCGGUUAGGCGGUUAUUUUUGCGGUGCGGUUUUGUUUUUUCUGUGUUGCGGUUAUUAACCGCAUGGAUUUGUUGCGAUUAAUUUGUGUGGUUUUUAAUCCUAGUUUAGAGCUCAAAUAGUUUUAAAAGUUCAAACAUAUUACUUGUAAUAAUAAAAAAAAACAUAAGGUAUAAGACAAUUAACUAUUUAACUUAAA